UUCCAUACUUUACUUUAAGAGUGUCAGAUAAAUAGUAUAUGAUGCAUUGUUGUUCCUGUAUUGAUCAAAGAGAUACGUCACAGGCUUGCCUGUUCAGCAAGAAUUUCCUCGAGGUUGGUCAUUUUCGGAUGCGGAGCCGCGCACGCAGUUACAAAAAUUGCUGUGCACCCAACGCGCAUGACCACCCACUCCACGUUGACGUAAUUUUGCCGCGUGCACCAACACGCUUAUGCGGACGCGUCAAGUAUAAACAAAGCUUCAGGCUACGCAGGGCUACGGAUAACUUACGGCGUAGCUACGGCAUAGACCUUACAAUACACACGACUAUAAAUUGGACUUUACAUUUGUGACAUUUACAGAUCAAAUCCUAUACAUCCCGAUGUGCUCACAAGUGAAUCAUAUCAAACUUGGUUGAUAUCGAGGAUUUUAAAUUGGAAUGAAACAUUUGAUACACGUAGCUUAAGUAAUGCUAUAUAAAGAAUAUAAAAAUAUUUUCACAGCUGAUAUUGGUAAUGUAGAUGUAUUUUGUAAUAAUACCAUGUAAACUACAUAGUUCAUCAUUUUCCGUGCAUCUAAUGUAUUUAUUAAUAUGUUUUUAUUGUAGAGCUGCUUUGCAAUAUUGCAAAAUUCUCUAAUAAAUGAGAUUUUAUCAAUUGUAUUUAGUGCAAAUGUGUGGCUUCAACCCGUUUGUUCACACACAUUUAUUUUCUGCUGUGUGUUGAGGAAUGAAUGCAUGAUUUUUCUUCAGUCUGAGCGUUGAAUGUCCUCUGCUUUUCUGACCUAUUUCUCUCCGGCAGCUGUGAUUCAGAUGGAUUUUUUAUGAGAAGUGUUCACUGUAAACUCAAAUCCGGCUAAAUAAACAUUUAAUCACUUCAGAAGGCACAGAAUCGCUUCGAUACGCCCUAAACUCUCUCUAACCCGCUGAAGUGAGUGACCCAGUUUACUGACAGUCAUAUAAUGUACACACAGGAAGAGGAAACUAGCGGCUCCACCAGCACAAUAACUCUCCCUUCAGAGGAUUGUGUUCACAGGAAUUCUUCAUCCAAAAUAAACAUUUAUUUACUAACCCUCACGCUCUUUCACAACCGCAUGCUUUUCUCUGUAACACAAAGUACAAAUGUAUUAUAUGGACUGGAAAGUAAACUAUUCAUAGAUUUAAAGCUCUCGAGAAUAAUACGUGAUUUAAUCCUGUUUUUUUUGUUUUGUUUUCCAGCCUUUGAAAAACAAAGUAGUUGCAAGUAGAGGUCUUCUUGGGUCUAAAGAAAUGUACCCGACCCAAAAUGACCCCGAAUCACUUUAAACCUGAACCUGACAUGCAUAAAUCUUUAUUUUUUAAAAAGAAAGACCCAACCUGAGACAAUGCCAAAAAAAAUUAGGAAAAGGACUCGAUGCAGCUCAUUUUUGGUAAAUUAUUCCUCUAAUCUCUUACUUUAAAUGUGGGAAUAUCUCUCUAAAUCUCUCUCUUUCUCCUUGCACUGUAAAAAAAAGCAGCAUGAAGUUAAUUCAAUCUAGUAUUUUAAGUUUUGACCUGUGAUAAGUUGACAUAACUUAUAAAACAAGUUGAAAUUGUUUAAUUUUUUAAGUUAAAGUAACACAAAAAUAUGUUGAUUUGACAAAUACGCUGCAUUUUUUACAGUGUGCAUAAUUCAUCUGACAGAUCAAUUUAAUUAUCUUUUUUUUUUAAAUUGGCAAUUUUAAAGUGCAAAACAAAACAUCACAUGAGAUGCUGUUUCGUACCGUGUCCAGUCUGAUGUGAUUGUAUUUGUUGUUUUGCAAAAUUACUUCAAAACGUGCAUCCUGUAAUAUACACAAUGAGUAAGAUUAGCAUGUUCAAAUGUUUACAAUAAUUUAAAUAUUUUUAUGUGUGCUUGAGAGAUUUAUUAAAAUGAUUACACAUUUGCAUACGAGAUUAUGUCACUGUCGGUGCUCAAGUGAUGCUUUGCAACAGCAGAUUCACAAAAUCUUUUAGUAGUGAUGCACUUGAUGUAUCGGCCACCUAUAUUUAUCGGCCGAUUUUUUAUGAAUUUAUAACCAUCAGCAUAUCGGCAAUAGCACGAGAAAGGCCGAUACCGAUUGUUUAUUAAUUAACUGUAUAAAGAAAUCCAUUAUAUGUAAAAAAUGAGUUAAUGUUGUUAAUAAAAUAAAUGCUGAAUAGCAAAAAUUACCUUUGAAGGUUGUCAUGUUGUCUUAUUAUAUUUGUUUUAGCUUAAUUUGUGCCUCUCUUGUUAUGUUGGUCAGUUGAAUGUUAAUUAGAUCCAAUCCAUGUUCAGUAAAAAAUAUUUGAUGCAAAAAUAAACUAGCUAAUAGACCAACUGUAUAGUAUUGUAUACAAGUGUUUAAUAUCGGUAUCGGCCAGAAGUUGUCUGUUUAAAUCGGUAUCGGUCCAAAAAAAUCCUAUCGGUGCAUCCCUAUCUUUUAGCCAAUCGAAUGCUGCCUCAGCCUGGAUACGACCUCUGCAUGUUUGAGCCAUGACCUUCACAGAGGUCACAUGUGUUCCUCUUGCUCACUUGGUAGAGCAUUAAUGAUAUCUUAAAGGGAUAGUUCACCCAAAAAUGAAAAUUGUGUCAUCAUUGAUUCACUCAUAUGUUGUUACAAACUUUGUUCUGAUGACCACAAAGGAAGAUAUUUUGAGAAAUUUUGAUACCAAACUGAUCAUGAGCCCCAUUCACUUCCAUAGCAUUCUUUUGUCCUACUAUGUAAGGCAAUGGUGCCCCAGAUCUGCUUGUUUGCAAACAUUUUUUCAAAAUAUCUUCAUUUGUGUUCAUCAUAUUUAUACAGGUUUGUAACAACAUGAGAGAGAGAAAAUGAUGACAGAAUUUUCAUUUUUAGUCCCUUUUAUCACUUUGGAUUGAAGCAUCUGCCAAAUGCAUAAAAUGCAAAUCCAAAUGUAUGAGCGCAGGACACACGUCUCUGUGAUAGUAUGUGUAUGAUGUCUAAAAAAUGCUCUUUAAAAAUCUCUGCCCUAACAGGAUGACACAGACACCGAGGUGAGGUCAGCCGUCACAUGUUGCAGUCGUCUCUCAUUGACGGCUGAGAUCUGAUGCCCACGUGCGGGACAGAACAGAUGCCCCUGAAUGAGGAGCUCAAUGACAAAAGAGACGUCAGGCGGAUUCAAACUUCCUCCGUCAGGACACAUCCUACAUCAUGCCGGUGAAUCAGAGGCCAAAUACAGUCAAAAUAAUAGGAAGUGCUGGGCCUUGAAUUUUAUCCCCCAGAUUCACAAACUUUCAAGGAUUUCAAGGACCCGUUGUGUGCUGAUAAUGAAACAGCGCCACUACAGUGGCGUAAUGCGUCAACUGCAGUUACAAAUGACAAUUCGCAGUGCAACGAUUGUUCAUGUUUUUCGAAACACAUGAAAUUUGGUGGAGGUGGCCGCCUCAAAAUUCUCUAAACCCUGAAUAUAAAAGAUAAGCUAGAUUAUUAGCUUUAUAUCUCACCCUAUCUACAGGUACUAUGAUACUUAUCCAUAUUAUCAUCUAACACUAUUACUGUAUCAUAGUACCACCACAGUGUUUUUGUAAAGGCUAUUUUUUUAACUGGCGUUGGUUGGAUCAUUGUGAAUUUCCCUUACAUGCUACAUAAAAAAAACAUCCAGAGUAGAUAUAUCUCAUUUAAAUAUAGCCGUGAAAUAAAUGAGUGCAGUGAACUCAUGGCUAUCAGAACAGGAAUUCCGACAGGGGAGAUUUCCUGGCUGCUCGACAGAUAUGUGAAGGAUUUCAGUCACGUGUAAGACACUUCCUAUUGGUCGUGAAGGUCGGGGGGGAGGUGCCGUAAGCUUUUCCACUCGGGAAUUCCAUCCACAACAUUCCAGCAAACACAGUCACACCACCAAGAAAGCAUGAGAUUCGUACCUCCAGUUCUGUCUCCCAGCGGUUGAUGUUAUCUGUGGACUGAUUCAGUCUCUCCAGUUCACCCUGUUGAAGAGAUCAAAUCAUACACAGAGAGUUGAAAUCGCAGCCGGAUCUUUUGCGGUGUCAGCACAGCUGGAACAAGUUAUCCACAACAUGUAACCUAACACUGAAAUAAAGCUCAUGUUUAUGUUUCCUCCUACACACAUAAUGUUUCAGGCUCAUGAGUUUAAGAAAAGAACGAAUGUAUUAACUUGCACAUGCCAAAAAAUAUAGAUUUAUACCACUGACCUAUUUUCCAUAGAUAUUUUAUAAAUAUGACAUUGAUAUUAAACACGCUCUUUUAAACCACACUAGAAAAGAAAAAUGACACAAGCUUUGGUUAUAAAACUAAAGAUUUUUUUUAAAAUGAAGAGAAAAUAUUAAUUUUAUACAUAUUUGACCCUGGACCACAAAAGUAAGCAUGGAUAUAUUUGUAGCAAUAGCCAACAAACAUUGUAUGGGUCAAAAUUAUCAAUGUUUUUUAAGCUAGACAUUAUUAGUAUAUUAAGUAAAGAUCAUGUUUCAUGAGGAUAUUUUGUAAAUGUUCUACCAUAAAUAUAUAAAAAAAUUUAUUUAUUUAUCAUUAAUAAUAAG